AUUUAAUUUAACUUCUAAUUAAUUGAAUAAACCUUGUCAAUAAAUUGUAAAAAUAUAUUAAUAUUGUUGUUGCGUGAUUUUAUUACCGACCAUUCGAAUUAAAACUACAAACCGUUUUAUUGUUUGAAUAUAUUUAUAAGUUAAAAUUUUAUAUAUUACUUAAUAUAUUGGUUAUUUAUAACUUUCAUGGAUGGGUUUUUCUAAAAUCCAACAGAAAGAAACCGACGUCUGACGAUAAUGCCUCCCGCGUCUCGGCGUCUCGCAUACGCACUACGGUAUUCGCUAUCAUUUUGUUAUAAACCACGGAAGUGUCAAUAUUUAAUACUAUUAUUAUAUAAUAAGUAUAGCCGUACGCCCGUACAGCAGAUGCACAGAUGCAGCAGAUAUCGUUUUUGUAAGAUAACAUAAUUUCAAAAAAUUAUACCAAGUGGGUGAUAAGUUCUUAUUGAAAUUUCGCAGUAUAAUUCAUUAG